rnacentral:lncRNA from 1 species
CUUGCCGGGAAGGUGCCUUAAAACUCACAGGCCUAAGGUUGGGUGGAGAAAAUUGUGUCUGGCUGUGUCUUAGACUGCAGAUCUGGGAAAGAAACCACUCAUUCAUGAAGAGUUUUUUUUUAAAUAACUUUAUUAUCAAACACACAAAUUUAAAACCAUUCAAAGAAGAACAAUGCAAGGGGAAAAAAAAACUACAAUAAUAUUCAAAUACAGUAGAACUCAACCAAAACAAAACUGAAAAGCACCUAAACAUUUUUCCAUAUAACUUAAAAGAGAAUCCCAAGCACCAACAAGACACCAGAGGAUGUGAUUUGCUUCAGAAAGAUCCCCCAAACCAGCACUGGACAAAUAAUGAUCUGGAAAAAAACUCCAGUUAGUUAGUGACUCCACAGAAGCCAAGCUUCUCCCAUAAACACAAUGUUUUCUUUGACGCAAUCAUUUUUUCUUUCAUUAUGUUUUAUUGUUUUCAUCUUUCCUUCAUUGGGUUUUGGAAGGUUUGGGGAUUUUUCCCUUUUUCCCUUAGUUAGUUUCUUCUCCUUUUCCGCUUUCAAUUUUUUCUCUUCCUUCUUCAUUUCUUGUACUUUGCUCUCUGUUCUGUCUUUCCUUUUCCUUGCUCACUCCUCUCUGUGGCUGUCCUUUAACAUCACUAAUUUCCUUUCACCCCUCAAUAAGACACCUAUCUCACCUUUUCCCUAUUUCUCAUAUCUCAUUAUCAAAUUUUGCUUUUCUCAUUCUCCGUUCCCAACCCCCUCUACCUUUACUAGUAUAACUAAGUGUCAGGUAAAAGGGCGAAGACCAAGACCAGACCAGGCCACAACAAGCCUUUAUUGCAGGGAUGAUCUGCCGGGCUGUCUCUGAACAAAGGAGAGACAAAAGCAAUAUGGCCGGGCAGGGAGAGUCUUUUAUGGAGACUGGGGUGGGGCUUGUAGGGCCUGAGGCGGGGUUGAGUGAGGGAGUGACUAGGGAAUGGAGGAGCCGGUGAAGUCACUAGGUGGUAGGAGGUGAGCGAGUAUUAGGUUACUGUCUAGGUGGGACCAGGGGCAUGCUGGGAAGAAGGGUUUGUUCUUUGGUGGGAGCAACCAUCUUGGCAUGACGUCACACAGGGGAGGGGCAAGGCACCAUAGGAAGAGGGCAGCU